UGAGCAAUCUGCCCUUCUCAUCGGAAUAAGCGUUGGAAACGACGUCUAAUGCCGAAUACGACCUCCUUUCGCAUGAUCGGAGGUGGAAAGCUCCGGCGGAGAAGGAUGAGCUCGCGGCCUAUCAGCUAGUUGGUGUGGGUAAUGGCCCACCAAGGCGACGACGGAUAGCCGGCCUGAGAGGGUGACCGGCCACACUGGGACUGAGACACGGCCCAGACUCCGUAGGGAGG
rnacentral:rRNA from 1 species